rnacentral:rRNA from 1 species
UAAGUAACGAUAAAGCGGGUGAAAAGCCCGCUCGCCGGAAGACCAAGGGUUCCUGUCCAACGUUAAUCGGGGCAGGGUGAGUCGACCCCUAAGGCGAGGCCGAAAGGCGUAGUCGAUGGGAAACAGGUUAAUAUUCCUGUACUUGGUGUUACUGCGAAGGGGGGACGGAGAAGGCUAUGUUGGCCGGGCGACGGUUGUCCCGGUUUAAGCGUGUAGGCUGGUUUUCCAGGCAAAUCCGGAAAAUCAAGGCUGAGGCGUGAUGACGAGGCACUACGGUGCUGAAGCAACAAAUGCCCUGCUUCCAGGAAAAGCCUCUAAGCAUCAGGUAACAUCAAAUCGUACCCCAAACCGACACAGGUGGUCAGGUAGAGAAUACCAAGGCGCUUGAGAGAACUCGGGUGAAGGAACUAGGCAAAAUGGUGCCGUAACUUCGGGAGAAGGCACGCUGAUAUGUAGGU